GAUCGCGUAGCUCAGUUGGCAGAGCAUUGGGCUAGUAUUCCAAAGGUCGUAGGUUCGAUUCCCACCGUGGCA